CAGAGGGUGCAAGCGUUAAUCGGAUUUACUGGGCGUAAAGCGUGUGUAGGUGGUUGGGAAAGUCAAUUGUGAAAGCCCCGGGCCUAACUCGGGAACUGCUUUUGAUACUGUCUGACUAGAAUUCGGUAGAGGGAGGCGGAACUCCAGGUGUAGCGGUGAAAUGCGUAGAUAUCUGGAAGAACACCAAUGGCGAAGGCAACCUCCUGGGCCUGAAUUGACACUGAGACACGAAAGCGUGGGGAGUCAAACAGGAUUAGAUACCCUGGUAGUCCACGCCGUAAACGAUGACAACUUGACGUCGGUUCGCUCUGCGAAUCGGUGUCGUAGCUAACGCGAUAAGUUGUCCGCCUGGGGAGUACGGCCGCAAGGUUG
rnacentral:rRNA from 1 species